rnacentral:rRNA from 1 species
CCCUUAGAUGUUCUGGGCUGCACGCGCGCUACACUGAUACUUUCAGCGAGUCCACCACCUUGCCUGGGAAGGUGGGGUAACCUCUGGAAAGUGCAUCGUGAUGGGGAUCGAUUAUUGUAAUUAUUAAUCUUCAACGAGGAAUUCCUAGUAAGCAUGUGUCAUCAGCCCGUGCUGAUUACGUCCCUGCCCUUUGUACACACCGCCCGUCGCUCCUACCGAUUGAGUGGUCCGGUGAAAUCUCGGGACGGCGGCUUGGUCGCUUGCGUCCGACUGCUGAAACUUGAUUAAACCAUAUCAUUUAGAGGAAGGUGAAGUCGUAACA